ACCUAGGGUCCAAUGACUCCAUGCCUGACAGUCCAUGUGUACAUAAUUAGCUCCUCAGAUGUAAGUGGAAGGGAAGCUAUAUACAUUAUAUGUUUAAAUGAAAUUAACAACAGGAUUAGAUAUUGAGGAGAUCCUAUAGCUACAGUAUAUAUAAAUGUAACUGCAACUGUAUUCCAAGAGUUUGAUGGCUGAUAAUGUAUUACAGGAUUUUAUCAUUCAAGCAACAUCUUAGAAGGAUAUGUGCAAAUGUAUGAAGGAAGCCUUGGAUACAAAUAGCAAUUACAUGCAGGAGAGAACUCUUAAACAUUACUAACAGACAUGUAGUCAUUAUAUGGGAGUGGUGUAUUCAAGAAAUCUAAAACACAUGGAAUUGUAUAUUUUUUCAACCACAAGUACUCUCAGAAUAUAAUACAAUUGAAAUUCAAAUUAUUGUGCCAACAUGACAAUUACAGUUUAAAAAUGGAAAA